rnacentral:rRNA from 1 species
AUUGAACGCUGGCGGCAGGCCUAACACAUGCAAGUCGAGCGGAUGACGGGAGCUUGCUCCUUGAUUCAGCGGCGGACGGGUGAGUAAUACCUAGGAAUCUGCCUGAUAGUGGGGGACAACGUUUCGAAAGGAACGCUAAUACCGCAUACGUCCUACGGGAGAAAGCAGGGGACCUUCGGGCCUUGCGCUAUCAGAUGAGCCUAGGUCGGAUUAGCUAGUUGGUGAGGUAAUGGCUCACCAAGGCGACGAUCCGUAACUGGUCUGAGAGGAUGAUCAGUCAAACUUGAACUGAGAAAGGGUCCAGACUCCUACGGGAGGCAGCAGUGGGGAAUAUUGGACAAUGGGCGAAAGCCUGAUCUAGCCAUGCCGCGUGUGUGAAGAAGGUCUUCAGAUUGUAAAGCACUUUAAGUUGGGAGGAAGGGCAGUAAGCUAAUACCUUGCUGUUUUGACGUUACCGACAGAAUAAGCACCGGCUAACUCUGUGCCAGCCGCCGCGGUAAAAC